GGAGACGUGGCUGAGUGGUCGAAAGCGCUUCACUGCUAACGAAGUAGGGUUUAAUCGCCCUCGUGGGUUCGAAUCCCACCGUCUCCGCCA
rnacentral:tRNA from 1 species